UGCUGGCAGUGCUGGUGGCGUUAAGAUGGGUGGAAGAGGCUAGACACACCAAGGUACUGAUUUGCUCAGAUUCUUUAUCAGUUUUAGCAAGCUUGAAAUCAUUUCAUUCUAAUAGCCGUCAAGACAUUUUAUAUGGAGUUUUGCAGUCACUUACUAGAAUAGUGAAUAGAGGGGGUCUGGUUACAUUUAUGUGGGUACCAGCACAUGUAGGGGUGAAAGGGAAUGAGAGGGCAGAUGAGUUAGCGAAGAGGGCGUUAAGGAAAGGAAGAAUAGAAAUGGAAGUAAGUAUCAGUAAGGCGGAGGUUAAGAGUGUCAUUUGGGGGAAAACCAAUCAAAUGUGGCAAGAGAGGUGGAACAGAGAGGGCAAAGGGAGGCAUUUAUUUCACAUACAAAACAGCAUCAGGGUCACUAGGGCAGGUAUGGGGCACAGGAGAGAGGGAGUGGUGAUAAUGAGGUUAAGGCUAGGGCACUGUUCACUUAAUAAGUCACUUAAACUGGUAGGGAAGCAUCGGACAGGACUGUGUGAGAGGUGUCAGGAAGAGGAGGAGUCAGUGGAUCAUGUACUUUUGAGGUGUAGGGCAUAUGGGGCACAGAGAGAGGUGAUGAGGAACAGUCUGAGGGAGUUAGGGGUCCAAGAGUUUAAUUUAAAAGGAGUAAUGGAAAUGAGUGAGAGAGCACGAGUCAGGGUAGUAGUGAAGUUUUUAAGGGACACAGGGUUUUUUUAUAAGGUAUAAGGUAGGUUAGGAAUGGUGUAGCUAUAUAGGGUAGGACUAAAUGUGUGUGUG